CUUAGAAUUAAAAUGGCAGUAUGCUUAUAUUUAAACAGUGUUACAGGAACACUAAGCCCCGUACCCUUUACCCUAGUCUGUGUAGCUUUAUGUAAAACAGCAAGCAUCAUACUACUGUCAGUAAGUUGGUAUGGGAUUCAGUCAGAUUUCUGUGCAUUAACAACAUAUAGAGGUAAAAUAUCAAAUAGGAUUGAGGAUGAAUGUGUGUGUGUGUAUAUAUAAUAUCCUCAGGAAUGCCAGCAGUGCUGGAUUUGUCAUAAGGCCAUAGCUUCAGGGCAG